rnacentral:rRNA from 1 species
GACGGAGGAGGCUAGCGUUGUUCGGAAUUACUGGGCGUAAAGCGCACGCAGGCGGCUUGGUAAGUCGGAUGUGAAAGCCCGGGGCUUAACCCCGGAACUGCAUCCGAUACUGCCGAGCUUGAGUCCGGUAGAGGAGAGCGGAAUUCCCAGUGUAGAGGUGAAAUUCGUAGAUAUUGGGAAGAACACCGGUGGCGAAGGCGGCUCUCUGGUCCGGUACUGACGCUCAAGUGCGACAGCGUGGGGAGCAAACAGG